CCUACGGGUGGCUGCAGUGGGGAAUAUUGCGCAAUGGGGGAAACCCUGACGCAGCAACGCCGCGUGAGUGACGAAGGCCUUCGGGUCGUAAAGCUCUGUCGGAGGGGAAGAAACUAUCUAUGGCUAACAUCCAUAGGUAUUGACGGUACCCUCAAAGGAAGCACCGGCUAACUCCGUGCCAGCAGCCGCGGUAAUACGGAGGGUGCAAGCGUUGUUCGGGAUUGUUGGGCGUAAAGCGCGUGUAGGCGGCGAAAGCCCUGGGCUUAACCGAGGAAGUGCGCCUGAAACUGAUUGGCUUGAGUACGGGAGAGGAGAGCGGAAUUCCCAGUGUAGAGGUGAAAUUCGUAGAUAUUGGGAGGAACACCGGUGGCGAAAGCGGUUCUCUGGAUCGAUACUGACGCUAAGACGCGAAAGCGUGGGGAGCAAACAGGAUUAGAUACCCCGGUAGUC
rnacentral:rRNA from 1 species